rnacentral:rRNA from 1 species
UACGAAGGGGGCUAGCGUUGCUCGGAAUCACUGGGCGUAAAGGGUGCGUAGGCGGGUCUUUAAGUCAGGGGUGAAAUCCUGGAGCUCAACUCCAGAACUGCCCUUGAUACUGAGGAUCUUGAGUUCGGGAGAGGUGAGUGGAACUGCGAGUGUAGAGGUGAAAUUCGUAGAUAUUCGGAGGAACACCAGUGGCGAAGGCGGCUCACUGGUCCGGUACUGACGCUGAGGUGCGAAAGCGUGGGGAGCAAACAGG